rnacentral:rRNA from 1 species
GUCUAUAGCAAUGCCACCCUGAACAUGCCAGAUCUCGUCUGAUCUUGGAAGCUAAGUAGGGUUGGCCCUGAUUAGUACUUGGAUGGGAGACCACCUAGGAAGACUGGGUGCUGUAGAUG